rnacentral:lncRNA from 1 species
AGAAGUGUCUAGCCCACUAUCUACACCUUGCACAAAGAAACAAUGAGCAACCAAAGCAGGCAGCAAGAGAAUGGAGGCAAUGGAGGAGUGGUUAUCAUCACUCUGCUGGGAACAGAAUAACAGAGUAAAGAAGCCAAGCAUCUUGGNCAAGAGCUACCAGUUUCUUCAUUGACUGACACAGUGUUUUAACCCAGACAACCGAAGAAUGAUGACCGACAAAUGACUUCUACGGUUUCACCUAAAUACGGGUCUCGUCCUGAUCACCUUCCACUUGUUUCUGGAGCGCUCUCUCUCCAGCCUUCAGUAAGUGCUUGGAAGCUGCAAGNGAAGACAACCAGCUGGAUUGCAUCCAAGAUUUUUAAUCAAGUUCUGUCCUCAUUAUAUAUGUCCCUGGGAUUGAGAACAUCCUAUGUGCUCUGCAUAUGAGUAUAGACUGGAGCAGCAAAAGGCAACUACUAUAAGGAUUUCUGUGCUACAGGUUUUGCAAUGCAUAAUAUUUAUUUUUAAGGACUUUAUUAUUUCAAAUAAUCAUCUUUGAAAUAAUAAAGUCCUUAAAGCUUGGAUGAGGUGCUUCUUU